UCCUACGGGAGGCAGCAGUGGGGAAUAUUGGACAAUGGGGGGAACCCUGAUCCAGCCAUGCCGCGUGUGUGAAGAAGGCCCUCGGGUUGUAAAGCACUUUCAGCGAGGAAGAACGCCUAGCGGUUAAUGCCCGCUAGGAAAGACAUCACUCGCAGAAGAAGCACCGGCUAACUCCGUGCCAGCAGCCGCGGUAAUACGGAGGGUGCAAGCGUUAAUCGGAAUUACUGGGCGUAAAGCGCGCGUAGGUGGCUUGAUAAGCCGGUUGUGAAAGCCCCGGGCUCAACCUGGGAACGGCAUCCGGAACUGUCAAGCUAGAGUGCAGGAGAGGAAGGUAGAAUUCCCGGUGUAGCGGUGAAAUGCGUAGAGAUCGGGAGGAAUACCAGUGGCGAAGGCGGCCUUCUGGACUGACACUGACACUGAGGUGCGAAAGCGUGGGUAGCAAACAGGAUUAGAUACCCUGGUAGUCCACGCCGUAAACGAUGUCGACCAGCCGUUGGGUGCCUAGCGCACUUUGUGGCGAAGUUAACGCGAUAAGUCGACCGCCUGGGGAGUACGGCCGCAAGGUUAAAACUCAAAUGAAUUGACGG
rnacentral:rRNA from 1 species